GGACGUACAGUAAUGUCAUGAACUGGUGAGUAAUUUCUUGAUUUUGCAAUACCACCUAGGGAUAGGUGUAGGACGAUCAAUUGCGCUAACUUCUGUUUAUAAUGCGGUAUUAAUUACUAGGGGAGGCUAGGGAUAGCAAGCCAGUAGUUAAUAUUAGGCCCUUUUCGCCGAGGGAUCGGGUUAAGGGGAGGCUAAGAAAGUCGCAUAACAAUUGAAUCAAUCAAACUAAUAUUCAAAGGUAGUAUGUAAGAGAGAGCGGAAUAGAUGAAAUUGUAAACCCCCA
rnacentral:lncRNA from 1 species